rnacentral:rRNA from 1 species
CAGCGGAGGGAUCAUUACCGAGUUUACAACUCCCAAACCCCUGUGAACAUACCUUAAUGUUGCCUCGGCGGAUCAGCCCGCGCCCCGUAAAACGGGACGGCCCGCCAGAGGACCCAAACUCUAAUGUUUCUUAUUGUAACUUCUGAGUAAAACAAACAAAUAAAUCAAAACUUUCAACAACGGAUCUCUUGGUUCUGGCAUCGAUGAAGAACGCAGCAAAAUGCGAUAAGUAAUGUGAAUUGCAGAAUUCAGUGAAUCAUCGAAUCUUUGAACGCACAUUGCGCCCGCUGGUAUUCCGGCGGGCAUGCCUGUUCGAGCGUCAUUUCAACCCUCAAGCCCCCGGGUUUGGUGUUGGGGAUCGGCUCUGCCCUUCUGGGCGGUGCCGCCCCCGAAAUACAUUGGCGGUCUCGCUGCAGCCUCCAUUGCGUAGUAGCUAACACCUCGCAACUGGAACGCGGCGCGGCCAUGCCGUAAAACCCCAACUUCUGAAUGUUGACCUCGGAUCAGGUAGGAAUACCCGCUGAACUUAAGCAUAUCA